AGAGUUUGAUCAUGGCUCAGGACGAACGCUGGCGGCGUGCUUAAUACAUGCAAGUCGAACGGGGUCGAUUCGGUGGCAACACCGAUGAAAACCUAGUGGCGAACGGGUGAGUAACACGUGAGCAACCUACCCCGGAGACCGGGAUAACAGCAGGAAACCGCUGCUAAUACCGGAUGUCCCCAUAGAUCCGCAUGGAUCAU
rnacentral:rRNA from 1 species